rnacentral:rRNA from 1 species
GUACCGUGAGGGAAAGGCGAAAAGAACCCCGGCGAGGGGAGUGAAAAAGAACCUGAAACCGUGUACGUACAAGCAGUGGGAGCACAGGUUUACCUGUGUGACUGCGUACCUUUUGUAUAAUGGGUCAGCGACUUAUAUUCUGUAGCAAGGUUAACCGAAUAGGGGAGCCGGAGGGAAACCGAGUCUUAAUUGGGCGUUAAGUUGCAGGGUAUAGACCCGAAACCCGGUGAUCUAGCCAUGGGCAGGUUGAAGGUUGGGUAACACUAACUGGAGGACCGAACCGACUAAUGUUGAAAAAUUAGCGGAUGACCUGUGGCUGGGGGUGAAAGGCCAAUCAAACCGGGAGAUAGCUGGUUCUCCCCGAAAGCUAUUUAGGUAGCGCCUCGUGAAUUCAUCUCCGGGGGUAGAGCACUGUUUCGGCUAGGGGGCCAUCCCGGCUUACCAACCCGAUGCAAACUGCGAAUACCGGAGAAUGUUAUCACGGGAGACACACGGCGGGUGCUAACGUCCGUCGUGAAGAGGGAAACAACCCAGACCGCCAGCUAAGGUCCCAAAGUCAUGGUUAAGUGGGAAACGAUGUGGGAAGGCCCAGACAGCCAGGAUGUUGGCUUAGAAGCAGCCAUCAUUUAAAGAAAGCGUAAUAGCUCACUGGUCGAGUCGGCCUGCGCGGAAGAUGUAACGGGGCUAAACCAUGCACCGAAG